AUCCUGUCAUGGCAGAUGCCCUAACUAUGAAGGUGGUUUUCCCAGGGCGAGGCUUAUUGAUCACAUUCCUGAUUUACUAACCCCUGAGCUUUUCCCAGAUGUGGGAAACUCAACUGCAUAAUUUGUGGUAGUGGAGGCUAUGUUUGUACUUGCCCCUA
ensembl:snRNA U1 U1 spliceosomal RNA